rfam:Triticum aestivum genome assembly, contig: Triticum_aestivum_CS42_TGACv1_scaffold_610446_7DL
CACGUACUUCUGCCAAUUCCAAAAUUCUUGUCUUAGAUUUGUCUAGAUACGGAUGUAUCAAGUCACAUUUUAGUAUUAGAUACAUCCGUAUCUAGACAAAUCUAAGACAAGAAAUUUGGGACAGAGGGAGUAGUUG